rnacentral:rRNA from 1 species
AAGUUCCGACCCGCACGAAAGGCGUAACGAUUUGGGCACUGUCUCAACGAGAGACUCGGUGAAAUCAUAGUACCUGUGAAGAUGCAGGUUACCCGCGACAGGACGGAAAGACCCCGUGGAGCUUUACUGUAGCCUGAUAUUGAAAUUCGGCACAGCUUGUACAGGAUAGGUAGGAGCCUUUGAAACGUGAGCGCUAGCUUACGUGGAGGCGCUGGUGGGAUACUACCCUAGCUGUGUUGGCUUUCUAACCCGCACCACUUAUCGUGGUGGGAGACAGUGUCAGGCGGGCAGUUUGACUGGGGCGGUCGCCUCCUAAAAGGUAACGGAGGCGCUCAAAGGUUCCCUCAGAAUGGUUGGAAAUCAUUCAUAGAGUGUAAAGGCAUAAGGGAGCUUGACUGCGAGACCUACAAGUCGAGCAGGGUCGAAAGACGGACUUAGUGAUCCGGUGGUUCCGCAUGGAAGGGCCAUCGCUCAACGGAUAAAAGCUACCCCGGGGAUAACAGGCUUAUCUCCCCCAAGAGUUCACAUCGACGGGGAGGUUUGGCACCUCGAUGUCGGCUCAUCGCAUCCUGGGGCUGUAGUCGGUCCCAAGGGUUGGGCUGUUCGCCCAUUAAAGCGGUACGCGAGCUGGGUUCAGAACGUCGUGAGACAGUUCGGUCCCUAUCCGUCGUGGGCGUAGGAAAUUUGAGAGGAGCUGUCCUUAGUACGAGAGGACCGGGAUGGACAUACCUCUGGUGUACCAGUUGUCGUGCCAACGGCAUAGCUGGGUAGCUAUGUGUGGACGGGAUAAGUGCUGAAAGCAUCUAAGCAUGAAGCCCCCCUCAAGAUGAGAUUUCCCAACUUCGGUUAUAAGAUCCCUCAAAGAUGAUGAGGUUAAUAGGUUCGAGGUGGAAGCAUGGUGACAUGUGGAGCUGACGAAUACUAAUCGAUCGAAGACUUAAUCAA